CCUUCAAACGGAUCAGCUCUCUCAGAUGAAUCGACUCCUCCAGUUCACUGAAAAGAAUCGAUUCAAAAGAACGAUUCGUUCAUGAACUGGACAUCUCUAUUUUUUUAUCUCUUC